GGUCUCAUAGCUCAGCUGGUUAGAGCACCUGACUCAUAAUCAGGGGGUCCAUGGUUCGAGCCCAUGUGGGACCA
rnacentral:tRNA from 3 species